GCCCUCGGCGGCUCAGAUGGGUAGAGCGCCUGCCCUGUAAGCAGGCGAUCCUGGGUUCGAGUCCCGGCGGGGGCA